GAUGAACGCUGGCGGCGUGCUUAACACAUGCAAGUCGAACGAAGCAACUUAUCACGAUUCCUUCGGGGUGACGAUUUGUUGACUGAGUGGCGGACGGGUGAGUAACGCGUGGGUAACCUACCUUGUACAGGGGGACAACAGUUGGAAACGACUGUUAAUACCGCAUAAGACCACAGCACCGCAUGGUGCAGGGGUAAAAACUCCGGUGGUACAGGAUGGACCCGCGUCCAAUUAGCUAGUUGGUGAGGUAACGGCCCACCAAGGCGACGAUUGGUAGCCGAUCUGAGAGGAUGACCGGCCACAUUGGGACUGAGACACGGCCCAAACUCC
rnacentral:rRNA from 1 species